GAUUGAACGCUGGCGGCAGGCUUAACACAUGCAAGUCGAGCGGGGAAAGGUAGCUUGCUACUGGACCUAGCGGCGGACGGGUGAGUAAUGCUUAGGAAUCUGCCUAUUAGUGGGGGACAACAUUCCGAAAGGAAUGCUAAUACCGCAUACGUCCUACGGGAGAAAGCAGGGGACCUUCGGGCCUUGCGCUAAUAGAUGAGCCUAAGUCGGAUUAGCUAGUUGGUGGGGUAAAGGCCUACCAAGGCGACGAUCUGUAGCGGGUCUGAGAGGAUGAUCCGCCACACUGGGACUGAGACACGGCCCAGACUCCUACGGGAGGCAGCAGUGGGGAAUAUUGGACAAUGGGGGGAACCCUGAUCCAGCCAUGCCGCGUGUGUGAAGAAGGCCUUAUGGUUGUAAAGCACUUUAAGCGAGGAGGAGGCUACUAGUAUUAAUACUACUGGAUAGUGGACGUUACUCGCAGAAUAAGCACCGGCUAACUCUGU
rnacentral:rRNA from 1 species